UACGUAGGGGGGCAAGCGUUUGUCCGGAUUUACUGGGCGUAAAGCGCGUGUAGGCGGCUACGCAGGUCCGUUGUGAAAACUGGAGGCUCAACCUCCAGACGUCGACGGAAACCGUGGGGGCUAGAGUCCGGAAGAGGCGAGUGGAAUUCCUGGUGUAGCGGUGAAAUGCGCAGAUAUCAGGAAGAACACCCGUGGCGAAGGCGGCUCUCUGGGACGGUACUGACGCUGAGACGCGAAAGCGUGGGGAGCAAACAGG
rnacentral:rRNA from 1 species